GACGAACGCUGGCGGCGUGCUUAACACAUGCAAGUCGAACGGAAAGGCCCUGCUUUUGUGGGGUGCUCGAGUGGCGAACGGGUGAGUAACACGUGAGUAACCUGCCCUUGACUUUGGGAUAACUUCAGGAAACUGGGGCUAAUACCGGAUAGGAGCUCCUGCUGCAUGGUGGGGGUUGGAAAGUUUCGGCGGUUGGGGAUGUACUCGCGGGUUAUCAGCUGGUUGGUGGGGUAGUGGCGUACCACGGCUUUGACGGGUAGCCGGCCUGAGAGGGUGACCGGCCACAUUGGGACUGCGGUACGCCCCAGACUCCUACGGGCGGCAGCAGGGGGGAAUCUUGCACAAUGGGCGGAAGCCUGAUGCAGCAGCGCCGCGUGCGGGAUGCCGGCCUUCGGGUUGUAAACCGCUUUCGCCUGUGACGAAGCGUGAGUGACGGUAAUGGGUAAAAAAGCACCGGCUAACUACGUG
rnacentral:rRNA from 1 species